GCUCCACCGAAAGAAAAAGAGUGGCGAACGGGUGAGUAACACGUGGGUAACCUGCCCAUCAGAAGGGGAUAACACUUGGAAACAGGUGCUAAUACCGUAUAACACUAUUUUCCGCAUGGAAGAAAGUUGAAAGGCGCUUUUGCGUCACUGAUGGAUGGACCCGCGGUGCAUUAGCUAGUUGGUGAGGUAACGGCUCACCAAGGCRACGAUGCAUAGCCGACCUGAGAGGGUGAUCGGCCACACUGGGACUGAGACACGGCCCAGACUCCUACGGGAGGCAGCAGUAGGGAAUCUUCGGCAAUGGACGAAAGUCUGACCGAGCAACGCCGCGUGAGUGAAGAAGGUUUUCGGAUCGUAAAACUCUGUUGUUAGAGAAGAACAAGGAUGAGAGUAGAACGUUCAUCCCUUGACGGUAUCUAACCAGAAAGCCACGGCUAACUACGUGCCAGCAGCCGCGGUAAUACGUAGGUGGCAAGCGUUGUCCGGAUUUAUUGGGCGUAAAGCGAGCGCAGGCGGUUUCUUAAGUCUGAUGUGAAAGCCCCCGGCUCAACCGGGGAGGGUCAUUGGAAACUGGGAGACUUGAGUGCAGAAGAGGAGAGUGGAAUUCCAUGUGUAGCGGUGAAAUGCGUAGAUAUAUGGAGGAACACCAGUGGCGAAGGCGGCUCUCUGGUCUGUAACUGACGCUGAGGCUCGAAAGCGUGGGAGCGAACAGGAUUAGAUACCCUGGUAGUCCACGCCGUAAACGAUGAGUGCUAAGUGUUGGAGGGUUYCCGCYCUUCAGUGCUGCAGCAA
rnacentral:rRNA from 1 species